AUAGCUCAGUGGUAGAGUACUUGCUUAGCAUGCAUGAGGUCCUGGGCUCAAUCCUCAGU
rnacentral:tRNA from 1 species